rnacentral:rRNA from 1 species
AGAGUUUGAUCCUGGCUCAGAGUGAACGCUGGCGGCAGGCCUAAUACAUGCAAGUCGAACGGCAGCACGGCAGAGCUUGCUCUGUGGGUGGCGAGUGGCGGACGGGUGAGGAAUACAUGGGAAUCUGCCCAGUCGUGGGGAUAACGUAGGGAAACUUACGCUAAUACCGCAUGCGCCCUUCGGGGGAAAGCCGGGGACCUUCGGGCCUGGCGCGAUUGGAUGAGCCCAUGUCGGAUUAACUAGUUGGCGGGGUAAUGGCCCACCAAGGCGACGAUCCGUAGCUGGUCUGAGAGGAUGAUCAGCCACACUGGAACUGAGACACGGUCCGGACUCCUACGGGAGGCAGCAGUAGGGAAUAUUGGACAAUGGGCGCAAGCCUGAUCCAGCCAUGCCGCGUGAGUGAAGAAGGCCCUCGGGUUGUAAAGCUCUUUUGUCCGGAAAGAAAAGCGCCGGGUUAAUACCCUGGUGUCCUGACGGUACCGGAAGAAUAAGCACCGGCUAACUUCGUG